CCCGCCGUGCGACCGGCGGUAGGCUGGGAGCGCGCGUGUUGCUGGCAACGGCGUGCGAAGGUGCUCUGACAAUGUAGUCCGACAGUGGGCAAUAUCGCGAGGUGUUGCGUAGAGGCUCCGAGCAGCGAUGUGGCUCAGACG
rnacentral:ncRNA from 1 species